GAUGAACGCUGGCGGCGUGCCUAAUACAUGCAAGUCGAGCGAACGGACGAGACGCUUGCUUCUCUGAUGUUAGCGGCGGACGGGUGUGUAACACGUGGAUAACCUCCCUAUAAGACUGGGAUAACUUCGGGACACCGGCGCUAAUACCGGAUAAUAUUUUGAACCGCAUGGUUCAAAAGUGAAAGACGGUCUUGCUGUCACUUAUAGAUGGAUCCGCGCUGCAUUAGCUGGUUGUUACGGUAACGGCUUACCAAGGCUACGAUGCAUAGACGACCUAAGAGGGUGAUCGGCCACACUGGAGCGGGGACACGGUCCAGACUCCUACGGGAGGGAGCAGUAGGGAAUCUUCCGCAAUGGGCGAGAGCCUGACGGAGCAGCGCCACGUGAGUGAUGAAGGUCUUGGGAUCGUAAAACUCUGUUAUUAGGGAAAAACAUAUGUGUAAGGAACUGUGCACAUCUUGACGGUAACUAAUCAGAAAGCAACGGCUAACUACGUG
rnacentral:rRNA from 1 species